rnacentral:rRNA from 1 species
GACAGAGGUGCCGAGCGUUAGGCGGAAUCACUGGGCUUAAAGCGUGUGUAGGCGGACCCGUCAGUGUCUUGUGAAAUCCCCCGGCUCAACCGGGGAACGGGCGCGGAUACGACUCUUCUGGAGGGGCGUAGGGGGACCUGGAACUUCCGGUGGAGCGGUGAAAUGCGUUGAGAUCGGAAGGAACGCCCGUGGCGAAAGCGAGGUCCUGGACGCCUACUGACGCUGAGACGCGAAAGCCAGGGGAGCGAACGGG